UACGUAGGGUGCGAGCGUUGUCCGGAAUUAUUGGGCGUAAAGGGCUCGUAGGCGGUCUGUCACGUCGGGCGUGAAAACUCAGGGCUUAACCCUGAGCCUGCUUCCGAUACGGGCAGACUAGAGGUAUGCAGGGGAGAACGGAAUUCCUGGUGUAGCGGUGAAAUGCGCAGAUAUCAGGAGGAACACCGGUGGCGAAGGCGGUUCUCUGGGCCUGUACUGACGCUGAGGAACGAAAGCGUGGGGAGCGAACAGG
rnacentral:rRNA from 1 species